UACGACCACAUCACAUUUAAUCUCUGCUUCCCGUACGAACACCGAAGUUAAACAAUGUCGAGCCUGGUCAGUACUUAAAUGGGUGAUCAUUUAGUAAUACCAGGUUCUGUAAG